GCGGUGUGUGUGAUACCUUUAUAUAAUUUAUUUAUCAGUAGUCAGUUUUCUUUGUCAGGCAAUUUUAUUGUGCAAGUCGUAAGAAAAUUUUCACGUUUAUUGACGGGUUGUAUAAACGAUUGCGCUUCCUACACAAAACACAAUUCAGAUGUCAAUGGAAAAAAAAAAUUAAAAAGAUGUUUUCCCGAACAUAAGAGUUAUGGUCCGAGAUGAUUCAUUGCGCUCGCACUGUGUUAUAAAGAGAUGAAGUCUCCCGCGGUGAAGUUAAAAACACGAUUGCUGGAGAAUUCUUCGAAUAGGUGCUGAAAUUGGCGCAAAAGGUUUUGCCGAAUUCGAUAAAGAGAUAAAGUACUCAAGGCAAUGUGUAUACAGAGUGAUAAAAAAAGAAAAGAAAAAACCGCAACAUUAAACAGAGUAGAGUUCAACCGCAUAAUACACGAAAACCAGUCUGGCACGGUGCGAUAGUAUUCUUAUAACUCUAUACCCGAUGAAAGACGUUUAUUGCGGGCAGCAGUUUGCGAGAUGAUGAACUGUAUAAACGGUGACAAAGAAGCACCGACCAUUUUAAAAUGUAUUUAUGAUUAUUUUUUGUUUUAAAAAAUGCAUUGUUUUAAACUUAUAAUACAGUACAAUAAUAAUAGGCUAUUAUUUAAUAAUUGUAAUUUAUUGACAGCUCCCAAACAUGCAGAUUGUAAAAACGUGUAAAACAUUAUAAUAACUGCAAUAAUAUACAAUAUGCCACAGGAUAAUAUAAUAUAUUAUAAGUAUACGAGUAUAUUUAUUUACAUGCUACAUAAAAUAUUAUGUCUUCUAAAACGCUUAGGUAGGUACUGUUGAAAGAUCAGAAAAUUAUAGUAUUGUUUUUAUCACACGCACCUGUUUUGAUUAAUCGUUGUCGUCUCACGUGAAUGUGAUGAUACUAAAAGUGAAAAUUAAUUGAUUUUUAGAAAAAUGUUUUUAUGUUCUUAUACCUUAACAGGCUUAACAAUAAGAUUAAAGUGCAAAACCCAAUUUUAUUAUUU